CGCCUUUGGGAGAGAUGAAAGGUCCUGCCUGCCCGGUGAUUUAUUAAUUAAACGGCUGCGGUACUCUGACCGUGCAAAGGUAGCAUAAUCAUUAGCCUGUUAAUUCCAGGCUGGCAUCAACGGCAAGACGAAGGAAAAGCUGUCUCUUUGUAUUGAAUUUGAACUUUUCGUUUGGGUUAAAAGGCCCAACUAAGUUAGUGGGACGAGAAGACCCUAUUGAGUUUUAGUUGUAGUGUAGAUGGCGGAGUUUAUAGUGCAAUUUUGGUUGGGGCAACAGGUUUUUUUAUAAAACAAGAUUAGUUCCUAAUGAAUUGAAUCAGAAAUUUGACCCUAAUAAGUUUAGGAAAAAAGAAAAAAUUACCAUAGGGAUAACAGCGUAAUUCUUUUUGAGAGUACUUAUUGACAAAAGAGUUUGCGACCUCGAUGUUGGAUCAAAGGGGCCUGGGGAUGCAGCAGUUUCCGGGGGCUGGUUUGUUCAACCAUGAAAACUUU
rnacentral:rRNA from 1 species